GAUGAACGCUGGCGGCGUGCCUAAUACAUGCAAGUCGAGCGAACAGACGAGGAGCUUGCUCCUCUGACGUUAGCGGCGGACGGGUGAGUAACACGUGGAUAACCUACCUAUAAGACUGGGAUAACUUUGGGAAACCGGAGCUAAUACCGGAUAAUAUAUUGAACCGCAUGGUUCAAUAGUGAAGGACGGUUUUGCUGUCACUUAUAGAUGGAUCCGCGCCGCAUUAGCUAGUUGGUAAGGUAACGGCUUACCAAGGCAACGAUGCGUAGCCGACCUGAGAGGGUGAUCGGCCACACUGGAAAUGAGACACGGUCCAGACUCCUACGGGAGGCAGCAGUAGGGAAUCUUCCGCAAAGGGCGAAAGCUUGACGGAGCAACGCCGCGUGAGUGAUGAAGGUCUUCGGAUCGUAAAACUCUGUUAUUAGGGAAGAACAAAUGUGUAAGUAACUAUGCACGUCUUGACGGUACCUAAUCAGAAAGCCACGGCUAACUACGUG
rnacentral:rRNA from 1 species